rnacentral:tRNA from 2 species
GCCCUGAUAGCUCAAUGGAUAGAGCAAUCCCGUCCUAAGGGAGAGAUCGGGGUUCGACUCCUCGUCAGGGCA